AUGGAUUAGUUUUGUAUACAUAUUUAGAAAAGCUUUAAAAGCUUUUCAAGAACCCGGCCCUGAGAUUCAUAUCCCUGAUCGAUCCCGUGUUAAAAUGGACGCAUGAGUGCCGAUCAGCAGUGAAGUCAUUAGGACACAAUCAUGACGGCCUCCAUUUACCCUGCCAGUGUUUCCGCCCACCCUAUCAUCUGCAGGAAAUGAACGCUGGGAUACGGAUAACACUCAUGAAUGCCCUCUGUUUCCUUCUCUCUCCCCAUGAGGUGGAAACAGUCAAACAGUCAAAACACAGUAAAGCAGCCAUUAUGAAUCCGGAAACUUCAUCUCCGGCCAAAGUAUGUCAUGCAGAUGGUUCUCAGGGCAGAACGACCCCUGCUCGGCCAACCGAGAGAGAUUUCAUGAUCGCGGCGCGGCCGUGACGGAUCAGGCCUUCGACGUGUUAUGACAGCCUUGUGUUUUUGCGUCUCGACUCGAGCCAAGAGUCAUGGUGGGAGAUGCAUAAAAGCUCGAGCUGAAGGCAUUCUCAUCUCAUCUGACACACUGAGACUGAAGCCGAGGCAUGUGACCUCCAGCAGGGGGCGGUGUUGCAUGAAAACAAAGACUGGCCUUUAGCUAAUGAAUGUGUUUUUCAUAGAGGCAGCAGCAGACCGGAUCUCCAGGGAUUUACAGUGAACGCUGUGUGACCCAGAUGUCAACUGUAAAAGCUUGAAACGCAUCGGUGUGGAUUUACUAUCACGGUUUCAAGAAGAUUCCUUCUACAGACGUCAGGAUUUUUGUGAAGCAGAUUCAUGUGAAGUCCAGCUCUGGAAUGUGGUGUGAUCACAGCCACUUCAGCUCUAUAUCAGUGCUGCUGAACCUCAUUGGUCCGUGUGAAGUGUGGGAAUAUUCCAGCUCUCUCUGAACCCUGUUAUCAAUCGGGAGUGUCGCUGAUAAUCGGUGAUGAAUGUGAUACAGAAGACGAGCCACUCGCAAACAUUCCUACAGCUGGCUUUCAGAUGCCGCAGUCUCUCUACUCUGAAGUGUCUCCACAUCCACCCCGUCGUCUCACCACACCCUGGGCUUUGGCAGGGAGACAGCGGGAAUUGAACACAUCCCGUUUAGACGGGGCCCGUGUGUGCUGAAAAACACACAUGGCUUUGUGGGAAGGUCUGGAUGUCAUUAAACUCCUACGACUCCCAAGACUGUUUGUUUCUCGCUCUGUAUCUCACACACAUGCAGUGCUUACUAUGUCUCUCUCUCUCCCUCUAAAUCAGUAUUUCUGAACGCAGAGUCCAGCUAGAUACAUAAUUACAUAUCCACUAACCAUUCAGAAACAUCUACAAGUUGUAAGUUCUUCCUGAGUCUCUCCAUCAGUGUCGACUCCGGUUUGAACAAUGUAAGGCUGAACACCGUCGUCAUUUUGGCUGCGUGAGAUUCUCCAGCUUUGUUGUUGUUGAGCAACCGAAGCGUGAGCUGUUAAAGCUCCGCCCUCUUCUGGAAAGGGGGCGGGAGCAGCAGCUCAUUUGCAUUUAAAGGUACACACACAAAAACAGCGUGUUUUUGCUCACACCCAAAUAGGGGCAAAUUUGACAAGCUAUAAUAAAUGAUCUGUGGGGUAUUUUGAGCUGAAACUUCACAGACACAUUCUGGGGACACCAGAGACACAUAUUACAUCUUGUGAAAGGGGCAUUAUAGGUCCCCUUUAAUGUGUACCUUUUCGUUUUGGAAUUUUCUCUGUGAACGCACUAUUUAUACUUAAAAUCUACAGGUGAAUCUGAUCAAAAAAAAAAAUCAAACACCUUGGCAAAUCUGAGCACUGACUACAGACAUCAGUCUAUUUACCAACAACUGUAACUCACUAUCCUGUUGAUUUUUAAAAAAUUAAAUAAAUAAAUCAGAGCAACAAACGAAACAAUCAUCCAAGGAAAUGUAGAGGAUGCUUUAAUCACCAGCAGCCCAAACUCACGAGAGACUCGCUGAACACAACACGCACGACCACUUCCUGUUUCAGUCAUGCACGGGGACUAUGGGAAAAUCAUGAGAUAAAUGGAGCGAGGCCAGCGAGUGUCCGUUUCAGAUGACCUCAUCUUUUCCGAAAGCUCGUCUCAUACGCCCGUUCGGACAGAUGUGAGGAUCUCAAGCUUGAACUCACUGUCAGGAUAUUCUGCUGUGAUACUCAAGUUUGACACCGCUGUGAAAAUACAAGUCACACAACGACCCGCAGAGAAGACGCAUUAAUGAGAAAAACACCAGAGAAAGUGAGAUGAAGAGCGAGAGAGAGAGAGAAAUCGGUGUUACAGAUUAGCAUGUGACCUUGAAAGCCGCCCUCUAAUGCUCUGGAUUCGUGCUUGCGGUGUCUGUUCCUUUACAUCUAAUUUUGAGGGAUAAAAACCUCCAAACGGAGGCAGAUGGCAACUUGUGUGUGCUUUUAAUUGCUUUGCAUUUUACAGCGACAGAUCGUCCUUUAGAAAUGAACAAGAACUGUGUAUUUGUUAACAUUCACAAGAUCAGCGUCUGAAUGCACAGAGAACAGCACUAGUUAAUGGAUUUCCAGACAUUUCUGAUAUUUAUGCAUUCAUGCAUCUUUUCAGUGGAAAUGUCAUGAUGUUUCUGCACAUCUGUGCUGGAAUAAAAAUGAGUGAAUCUC